rnacentral:rRNA from 1 species
UACAGAGGGUGCGAGCGUUAUUCGGAAUUAUUGGGCGUAAAGCGCGUGUAGGCGGCUUUGCAAGUCGGGUGUGAAAGCCCUCAGCUCAACUGAGGAAGUGCGCCCGAAACUGCAGAGCUUGAGUGCCGGAGAGGGUGGCGGAAUUCCCCAAGUAGAGGUGAAAUUCGUAGAUAUGGGGAAGAACACCGGUGGCGAAGGCGGCCGUGCUGGGCAGUUGGCU